GCGGGUGUAACUCAAUGGCAGAGCGCCAGCCUUCCAAGCUGGAUACGUGGGUUCGAUUCCCAUCACCCGCUCCA
rnacentral:tRNA from 2 species